rnacentral:rRNA from 1 species
AUUGAACGCUGGCGGCAUGCCUAACACAUGCAAGUCGAACGGCAGCACGGCAGUAGCAAUACUGUGGGUGGCGAGUGGCGGACGGGUGAGGAAUACGUCGGAAUCUGCCCAGUCGUGGGGGAGUAACUAGCCGAAAGGUUAGCUAAUACCGCAUACGACCGAGAGGUGAAAGCGGGGGACCGGCAAGGCCUCGCGCGAUUGGAUGAGCCGACGUCGGAUUAGCUAGUUGGUGGGGUAAAGGGCCCACCAAGGCGACGAUCCGUAGCUGGUCUGAGAGGAUGAUCAGCCACACUGGAACUGAGACACGGUCCAGACUCCUACGGGAGGCAGCAGUGGGGAAUAUUGGACAAUGGGCGCAAGCCUGAUCCAGCAAUGCCGCGUGUGUGAAGAAGGCCUCGGUUGUAAG